GAUGAACGCUGGCGGCGUGCCUAAUACAUGCAAGUCGAGCGAACGGACGAGAAGCUUGCUUCUCUGAUGUUAGCGGCGGACGGGCGAGUAACACGUGGAUAACCUACCUAUAAGACUGGGAUAACUUCGGGAAACCGGAGCUAAUACCGGAUCAUAUUUUGAACCGCUUGGUUCAAAAGUUCAAGACGGUCUUGCUGUCACUUAUAGAUGGAUCCGCGCUGCAUUAGCUAGUUGGUAAGGUAACGGCUUACCAAGGCAACGAUGCAUAGCCGACCUGAGAGGGUGAUCGGCCACACUGGAACUGAGACACGGUCCAGACUCCUACGGGAGGCAGCAGUAGGGAAUCUUCCGCAAUGGGCGAAAGCCUGACGGAGCAACGCCGCGUGAGUGAUGAAGGUCUUCGGAUCGUAAAACUCUGUUAUUAGGGAAGAACAUAUGUGUAAGUAACUGUGCACAUCUUGACGGUACCUAAUCAGAAAGCCACGGCUAACUACGUG
rnacentral:rRNA from 1 species